GGAAUAUUGGACAAUGGGCGCAAGCCUGAUCCAGCCAUGCCGCGUGCAGGAUGACGGUCCUAUGGAUUGUAAACUGCUUUUGUACAGGAAGAAACACUGGUUCGUGAACCAGCUUGACGGUACUGUAAGAAUAAGGAUCGGCUAACUCCGUGCCAGCAGCCGCGGUAAUACGGAGGAUCCAAGCGUUAUCCGGAAUCAUUGGGUUUAAAGGGUCCGUAGGCGGUCUUGUAAGUCAGUGGUGAAAGCCCAUCGCUCAACGGUGGAACGGCCAUUGAUACUGCAGGACUUGAAUUAUUAGGAAGUAACUAGAAUAUGUAGUGUAGCGGUGAAAUGCUUAGAGAUUACAUGGAAUACCAAUUGCGAAGGCAGGUUACUACUAAUUGAUUGACGCUGAUGGACGAAAGCGUGGGUAGCGAACAGGAUUAGAUACCCGAG
rnacentral:rRNA from 1 species